GGUUGCCUUUUAGGUUGCAGUAUAUCAUCAAGAGAAGCCAAGCGCCCAGGACCACCAGCCCGGGAUGCCCCACCCACAAUGGGAUGACUUCUCUCACAUCAAUCACCAAACAAGAAAAUCCCCCUACAGACUUUGGGACAGGACAAUCUGACAGAGGAAUUAAUGAGUUGUGGUUUCUUCCUCCUAGACAACUCUAGUUCGUGUCAAGUAGACAAAACUAGCCAACACAGGGCUAUUUCCGCGCUAACGAAAGACAAGAAUGGCUCCCUCCACCAGGACUGGAGGCAGAACCCCGAGUUCCAAUUACUUUCGUAGCUGACACUUCACUGGACUGUUGAGCUGAAGUUUUUGCACCAUUGUGGGGAAGUGGUGAAGCCAGACAGCUGUGCGUGCCUCUCUCUUUGAUACGCAGUAAUUAGACUGUUCCACUAAUGGAAGAAAAUUUCCAGCGAAAAUGACUUCUAGUGUGUGUGUGUGUGUGGGGGGGAUGGUGAAGGCACCUUGGGGAAGAAAAAAAAACCACCACUGGAACAAAAGAAGAAAAAGUAAGCCUUUGUCGCGAGUACUGUGAAAGGAUUUAGGUGUUAACUAAGCAGCACUAAAAUGAGAGAGAGAAAAAAAGUUGGAAUCUCGAAUUAGCUCAGGCAUGACUUGUGUUUGCUUCCAAAUCAUAAAGCAAAUAGGUGAUUCAGACAAGCUCAUCAGUCAAUAAUGAGGGCUUGCCGGGAUGGAUGCAAGAGAUCCGAGUUCUCGAAGAAGCCCCCAUUUCCCUCUGCUAGGUGAGUUCAUUAGGGAUCCAUGGCAGUGCCUUGCCGGGGGACUGGCAGCUUGACUCUUUGUCCUGGAACUCGCCUCCUCUGAAUGCUCAGCUCUUUCUGUGUGCUAUCGAAGAACCAGUUGUCCCGGAGCACUGCUUUGACUGAGGUUUUGGCUGGAGGUUUCCAUUCCUAGACCCCUUAGGGUUAAGCGCUCAGCCCACUCUGGUCCUUCAGUCUUGCCUGAUGCUCGCCCACAGGCUUCUUCAUCCCUUCCCAACCACAGUUCCCUCACUUUAACUUUAUAUUUUUAGCUGUGUGUGUGAAUUUGACAUUUUCCUUAUUUCCUCUCCUUUCCCCAUUCUCUUUCCACCGUGAACUGAAAACGGCGACUUCCCUAUUCCGGAAGUGUUGCGAAUGACUGCCAAUCUAUUGGUCUCAACGUUUUACUUCACCUUUGCCAAAGACAUCUCAUUGUCAGUGAAUUGAAAUGACCAAUAAAGAUAAAAGAAUGUU